rnacentral:rRNA from 1 species
GUGCAGCAGGCGCGAAAACUCCGCAAUGCGCGAAAGCGUGACGGGGUCACCCCGAGUGCCGUCCGCUGAGGAUGGCUUUUCUCCGGUGUAGUAAGCCGGAGGAAUAAGGAGAGGGCAAGUCUGGUGUCAGCCGCCGCGGUAAUACCAGCUCUCCGAGUGGUAGGGACGAUUAUUGGGCCUAAAGCGUCCGUAGCCGGCCAAGCAAGUUUCCCGUUAAAUCCAGCGAUCCAAUCGUUGGACUGCGGGAAAUACUGUUUAGCUAGGGGGCGAGAGAGGCCAACGGUAUUCCCGGGGUAGGGGUGAAAUCCCAUAAUCCCGGGAGGACCACCAGUGGCGAAGGCCGUUGGCUAGAACGCGCUCGACGGUGAGGGGCGAAAGCUGGGGGAGCGAACCGGAUUAGAUACCCGGGUAGUCC